rnacentral:rRNA from 1 species
UACGGGGGGGGCAAGCGUUGUUCGGAAUUACUGGGCGUAAAGGGCGCGUAGGCGGUUGGAUAAGUCAGCUGUGAAAACCACGAGCUCAACUUGUGGCCUGCAGUUGAAACUGUCUGGCUAGAGUGUGGGAGAGGGAAGUGGAAUUCCUGGUGUAGCGGUGAAAUUCGUAGAUAUCAGGAGGAACACCGGUGGCGAAGGCGACUUCCUGGACACCAACUGACGCUGAGACGCGAAAGCGUGGGGAGCAAACAGG